UCCUGAUAUACAAAUACAACUAUACAAAAUUACAAAACAUAGUUUGUAUGAAAACCAAAAAUUUAGUCCCUAACAUUUGACUUGCACUGUUGCCAUUGCACUUCAUGCAGCUUAUAGGCACCUUUCCAGGGUAAGUAGGGUUGUCAGAUGGUAAAUCUGUCUUGCUGCAUAGCAAAGCUGUCUAUUUCUGUGCUGUAUAUCUGUCAGUGUUUCAGAGCUCUAGCCCAGGAGGAGGCGGCGGGGGCGGCGGUGGUGAAGAAGAGGACAGUCAGCAGGAAUCUGAAACUCCUGACCCAAGUGGAGGCUUCCGAGGAACAAUGGAAGCAGACCGAGGAAUGGAAGGUUUAAUCAGUCCCACAGAGGCCAUGGGGAACAGUAAUGGGGCCAGCAGCUCCUGUCCUGGCUGGCUUCGAAAGGAGCUGGAAAAUGCAGAAUUUAUCCCCAUGCCUGACAGCCCAUCUCCUCUCAGUGCAGCGUUUUCAGAAUCUGAGAAAGAUACCCUGCCCUAUGAAGAGCUGCAAGGACUCAAAGUGGCCUCUGAAGCUCCUUUGGAACACAAACCCCAAGUAGAAGCCUCGUCACCUCGGCUGAAUCCUGCAGUAACCUGUGCUGGGAAGGGAACACCACUGACUCCUCCUGUGUGUGCGUGCAGCUCUCUGCAGGUGGAGGUUGAGAGAUUGCAGGGUCUGGUGUUAAAGUGUCUGGCUGAACAACAGAAGCUACAGCAAGAAAACCUCCAGAUUUUUACCCAACUGCAGAAGUUGAACAAGAAAUUAGAAGGAGGGCAGCAGGUGGGGAUGCAUUCCAAAGGAACUCAGACAGCAAAGGAAGAGAUGGAAAUGGAUCCAAAGCCUGACUUAGAUUCAGAUUCCUGGUGCCUCCUGGGAACAGACUCCUGUAGACCCAGCCUCUAGUCUCCUGAGCCUAUAGAGCCCCCAGGAGACUGGGACCCAAAGAACUUCACAGCACACUUACCGAAUGCAGAGAGCAGCUUUCCUGGCUUUGUUCACUUGCAGAAAAGGAGCGCAAGGCAGAGGCUCUGAAGCACUUUCCUUGUACAUUUGGAGAGUGGCAUUGCCUUUUAGAUAGGAUCUAGGAGUGAUUUUAUUGUUUUGGAGAAUGGAAGGGCCCCCAUGGCCCUGGCUUUGUCAUCAGUGACUGCCAUAGCAACAGCAGCUCUGUACCUCAUCUGUUGAUCCCACCUUUAAAGAGGAGACACAGUGCUCACCUUAAUUGCUCUGGUAGCAGCUUAUAUCCCAUGUAUCAUUUUCACCAUUGAUUGGAAGCUGCCUUGGGAAUUCAGUACCAGGCAUUACCCCUCUGGGUGGGAGAGGGAAAAGUGUAAAGUUGGAGUGGGCUGGAGUCAGGUGUGGCCCGCCCAGUGUCCUCUGCAGAGUGGUGAAGUAGUCUGGCCCUCUUGGGAGCCCUGAGUCCAGGAAAAUAUGUCUGAUGGAAUCAAUCUAGGGCUUGUUUCGAAAAAGUUCAGUUACUCUGUGCAGCUAAAUGCUUUAGGAGGAAAGGUAGGCUUAGGUUGCUUUUCCUCUGAGGGUUGAUUGAAAUUUCUUCAGUGAGGAAUAGAGAAAGGGCAGGACCCUCCUCAUUACACAGCUGGUGUUUCAGGCUGUGACCAAUGCAGGGUGGGAUUUCCUAACUGUGGAUGAGGGGAUGAGGUGUCUCUGAGGGAUGAGGUGUCUCAGAGAAUUGAGUCCAUGGGGCAGUCAGAAUAGCCUUAAGAGAAAAUCAUGAAGGAGAAGAGGUCCUCCUUUAGCUGCCUCUACUUGGUAUCUUAGAGAGGGCUUAGAGGGCUCUCAGUCUUCUGCCCGUGAAAAGACUUCUUUGAGCCUCUGCCUUCAUGGCUCUUAGGGUUCUGAUCUUGAUAUCAGCAGCCCCAACCACUUUGUUUCUGUAUGUCUAGUCAGUAUUUUCCCCCUUUUGGUGUUUUAUGAAGCCAUGUGAUAACGAAUGAAUCUGUAUCAUUUUUCCUACCUGAGUGGCCCAAAGCCAGCACCAAACCCUGGGAGUCCCUGAAGCCUAACAGAACAGGUAGAACUUGCAAAAGGAAUUUGGCUGAGAGCUCACUUCUAAUCCUGUACUCACUGUGUCUUUGUAGAUAGAAACAAGCUAGCCUUACCAAAGAGAAAUAGUGUCAUAGAAGAACAAAACUUCAUAUAGAAAGUUCUAGGCAUGUAUUUGAUGGUUUCCUUAAGGAUGUGAGCUUUGUAUUUCCACCUAGCCUUGUAAAAUGUUCCUGUGGUAUUUUGUGUCACACAUCCUACCUUUGAUGAGUCUCACAUCCCACCUUCCUACAAACAGCUAAAUUAAUUUUGUUUCAUUUUCCCCAGACCAAAAUGUUUGAUAAUCUUUUCAACAUUGUGGGAGGUCCUGUGCAAUGGAAAUUUUGCCAUUUCUCCAAAACUGGUGGCAUAAAGGCUGAUGCUUGGGGAGAACCCCAUUGCUUGGGACAGGCAACUCUGUUCAAUGGGAUCUUCUUUGGUUUGAUGUUCCCAUUGUUUUCUCAGUUCUGGGAAGCCUAGUACAUUAGUACUAAUGUAAUCACUGAAACCUUUUCUUGAAAUAAGGGAAGCAGCCAAACUUUGAUUAAAGUUGCAAGUUCUGGGGACUUGCGGGGGUUGUCAUAAACUGUAACAGUGGGUUUUGGUUCAGCAUGUAAAUGCAACUUUGAUUUUCUUGAGGACCGAUUGACCUGUCAUGUCCCUGUAUCCUCAUGCUCAUCAUCUCAGCAGGCCUGAGAGGCUGGGUCAGUUUGGGUGUUCAUCAUGAGGAUUGCUUCUGCCAUGGAGCUGAUGGACAUGGGCAGGUUGCUGAGAAGGUGGGGUGAAAGUGAGUGCCGGGGAUGGGUGAGUGCCCUGGUCUUGUUCAUAGAGGAGCCUUUCCCUAGCAGUGGAAUGCUGUGGUCAUUUUCUCUAGCAUAUUCCCUUGGGAAGUCUAGAUUUGCUAUUAAUCUGGCUGAGAAUCUAAGUUCUGUGCCUUAGAGACAGUUUGCACUUUCCCAUAUUGUGCCUGGGACAGCCAUAUGAUUUUUUUUCCCACCAAACAAGUAUGCAAACAGAAACCAGUUCAAAGGGGGAUGGAGUAAAAGAUGAGGCAGUAGAAAUGCCUUUGAAUGGUUUUCUGUAGCUAAUUCUCUUUAAAUUUUGUCCUGCUUUUUUUCUUUAUGCAGUGCUAGGUGUUUUAAGUUUUCUAGUAGUAUUGCUUUUGAGUUACAGUAUAACCUGAGUUACUCCUCUGCUCUAACAUUGUUGCAGAAGAACUAGUUUAUUGUUAGCCAGGUUGCUUGAAAGGUUGAGAGUGGAGUGGUUUGGCAUUUCUGUUUUAAAUAAACAUUUAAGCUCUUAA
rnacentral:sRNA from 1 species